UACGUAGGGGGCAAGCGUUGUCCGGAAUCAUUGGGCGUAAAGAGCGUGUAGGCGGCCCGGUAAGUCCGCUGUGAAAGUCCAGGGCUCAACCCUGGGAUGCCGGUGGAUACUGUCGGGCUCGAGUCCGGAAGAGGAGUGUGAAAUUCCUGGUGUAGCGGUGAAAUGCGCAGAUAUCAGGAGGAACACCAAUGGCGAAGGCAGCACUCUGGGACGUGACUGACGCUGAGGCGCGAAAGCGUGGGGAGCAAACAGG
rnacentral:rRNA from 1 species